rnacentral:lncRNA from 1 species
UAGCCUGUGUCUGAGGCGCGCGGAGCUGGAGCGCCCAGGGCAUGUCCGCCGAUCCCAAGGAGGCAAUCUGUCAGGCGCCGCCCGGGCGGCAGUAUGCCUGAGGGGGUCCUCCGUGUUCGCGCCUCCCGCCGCCUGCACUGAAAGGUCUGUACCUGAGCCUGGAUACUUGAACAGAGGCAGACACUGCGGCUCAAAACCCCAAGGGUAGGUACCUAUUGUGCGGAGUCUCGGAACGCCUGCCUGGAAGAAGAGUUCCGGCGGCUCCCCGAACGCUUGGAGAAAGCGCUUGGAUGCAGUUGCAGGGAUAUCCUAGCUCUGAGACAAAAAUUGGGAACCUCAGCAUGAGUUUGUCACCUGAAUGAAAUAAAAAAAAUCACGUUGAAGGCUGGUGCAGUAACAUGUGCCUGUAGUCCCAGCUACUCUGGAGGCUGAGUCAGGAGGAUCACUUGAGACCAGAAGUUCAGGAAUUCAAGACUGGCUUGAGCAACAUAGCAAGACUUCAUUUCAAAACAAACAGAAAAAAGCCACCACCUUCAGUAUUUCUUGCCAAAGCAAAGGAGCCAUUUGUUCUUUACGAUGGUCAGGAAAGGAAGCAUCAAGGUCAUCAAAUGAAAAAUUUUCAGCAUUUCAGCCUCUCUGCUCAGGGAAAUAUCUGAAUCUAGAAUAUCACAACAUGAGCCAAAACCGCCCCAUUUCUCAUGCCACAUGUCACUCUUAACACAAGGUUACUCAACCUCGAGCAUGGUUGGCAUUUGGGGCUGAAUAAUUCUUUUUUGUAGGGGGCUGUCCUGGGCAUUGUAGGAUGCUCAUGAGCUACCUCAGUCUCUACCACCCACUAGAUGCCAGUAGCAUUGACCCCUGAUCUCUCUACCCAAGUUGUGACAACUAAAACCAUCUCUGGAUAAUGGAGGAACCUUAAAUGCAUAUUGCUAAGGAAAAGCCAAUCUGAAAGGAUUACAUAUUGUAUGAGUCCAACUAUAUGGUAAUCUGGAAAAGGCAAAACCAUGGAGACAGUGAAAAGGUAGUGGUUACCAGUGGUCCAUGGGAAGGGUUGGAUGAAUAGGUGGAGCACAGAGGAUUUUUAAGGCAGUGAAACUAUUCUGAAUGAUACUGUAAUGGUGGAUACAUGUCAUACCUUUGUCAAAACCAAUAAAAUAUAACAACCAAUAAAACUGCACAAAGAGUGAACCCUAAUGUAAACUAUGGACUUAAUAAUGUAUCAAUAUUGGCUCACCAAUUUUAACAAAUGUACCACACUAAUGCAAGAUGUUACUAAUAGUGGAAACUGGAGGGAAGAGGGCUUGAGGGGACAUACGGGAACUCUCUGUAAUUCCUGUUCAGUUUUUCUGUAACUGUUAAACUGUCCAAAAAAAGUCUGUUUUUAUAAAUGGAGGCAUGGUUUUAUAUGGACUAAAAUACUAUGAUUGCCUUUUUAUUUUACACAUGGUGAAAUUAGAGCAGGACAUAUUUUAAACUCAAAAUUCACAAAAUUAAUUUAUGAAAAUGUUUACCCAGAUCAAGAAUAUUAAAGAAACUUAGAUUAAUAUUGUUACCUUGAAUUUAUUUUACUGAGUAAUCCUCUAAGACUCCUCUACACAUUAUUAAUCUAGAAGGAUUUUUAAAGUCUUUAUGACAAUUAAUUAUUGGUCUACAGUCAAAUUGCGUAUCCCCAUUAACUAGAGUUAUAUUUUUCCAUUUUCUGAUCCAAAAACUUUAGGAACAGGAAAUGUUUAUUUUAGAAAACAAGAACACUUCUUAAGCAUUUGCUGUUAACAGUUAUUUUCACAUGUGCUUGUACUUAUUUUACACUUGUCAGAACAUAGUAUUUACCUUUGAACCAAGGUUUUAUAAUAAGCAAGCACUUUUUUUAUUUAGAAGUCACAUUUUCCAAGUAGAAAAAUCAUUAAAAAUUCAGUCCUCUGAAGGCUAAUUUCUUUAAAUCAUUUAACCUAAUUGUUUAAGGUAUAGAUUGGAAUUUUUCUCAGCACUCUCUUGAAAACAGGUGACAGUGGAACCCUGUUAGGUUCACAAAUCCUAGACUUUGAUUAUAUAGCCCAGGCUCAAAUUUUUCUCGAAUGUUACGAACAUUCAAAGCAUUAGGAGUCUUGGUUUCAUUUCUUAAUUUUUUUUCUUCUGGGUAUAUUUGAGACUCAUCUUGGAUUCAAAUAAAUUAAUAAUAGUCUCAUGAAACCGAUAAAAAUGGGAGCUCCAUUGAACAUGAGAGACAUUGAUUCGUAGUUUCUAACAUCCUCCAAAUGAGGAGCCCAUCCCUAAUUUAGAUGCUUCUUUCAAAGGAGGCUCCUUUCCUUCGUUAUCCAUAAUAUAGUCACACCAGUCCUGAAAAAACAUGGAACAGACUCCAGAUCUUUAUAUUUCAUACUCUAAAGUCGUACAAGCCAAUCUGCAUUUCCUCUAGUGGAAACUGUAUAGCUGGUCAUCUUUCCAGGACCCUUUUAUCAAGAAACAAUGCAGCUUCUACAUUUGUGCUGCUUCUACACCAAAACAGCUGGAAUGUAUAUAGUAUGGUUCUGGAUGCUCUUGUAUACCUCACUCUUCAUUUCUCACCUAACCCAUGUGCUAUGAUUUGAAUGUUUCUCCCCUGCAAAACUCAUGUUGAAAUGUAAUUGCCAUGAUAACAGUAUUAAUAGGUGGAAUAUUUAAGAGGUGAUUAGGGUGGGAUUGGUGAUGUUAUAAAAGGGUAAGUUCAGCCCCUUCUUGCUCUCUCUGUCACCCUUCCACCUUCCUCUGUGUGAUGAUGCAACAAAAAAGCCCUUCCCAGAUGCCAGCAUCUUGAUUUUGGACUUCUCAGCCUACAGAACUAUAAGCCAAUAAAUUUCUGUUAUUUGUUAUUAGUCUGUGAUAUUCUGUUACAGUAGCACAAAAUGGACUAUGACACCAUGUGUUUACACAGAAAGAAAAAAAUAUCAUACGGUAAUUGCUCCUAAAUAUGCAGAGAAUAUGUUCUGAUAUCCUUAGUGGAUGCCUGAAACUGCAGAUAGUACCAAACCUUAUAUAUACUAUGUUUUUUUUCCCAUACAUAUGCAUGUUAAAGUUUAUAAGUUAGGCAGAGUAAGAUAUGAACAAUAACUAAUAAUGAAAUAGAAACGUAACGAUGUGCUGUAAUAAAAGUUAUGUGACUGACG